rnacentral:rRNA from 1 species
GACAGAGGUGCCGAGCGUUAGGCGGAAUCACUGGGCUUAAAGCGUGUGUAGGCGGAUGGGUAAGUACCUUGUGAAAUCCCACGGCUCAACCGUGGAACUGCUCGGUAUACUGCUCGUCUUGAGCCAACUAGGGGCGACCGGAACAAACGGUGGAGCGGCGAAAUGCGUAGAUAUCGUUUGGAACGCCGAUGGUGAAAACAGGUCGCUGGGGUUGUGCUGACGCUGAGACACGAAAGCCAGGGGAGCGAACGGG